GCUUUUGCAGCCUUUUCCGGGCGGCUUUUCCGCGCAGGCGCCCCUGGACCUCCCAGGUUGAGAGGUGGAGCGGGCCAGAACCUCAGCUGCCUUUCCCGGGGCCGGGACCCGGCCGGGGGAGGACCGAGGCGCGGCGCUGUCCGUGACGUCAUCAGGCUGCGCUGCCCGCAGUACUGGACCCGAGCGCGACGGUGCGGCUGGCGGACCUGGGCUGGCUUGUGGGGAAACGAAACUGAGGGAGGAGGCGGCGGCUCUGGCAGCGGCGGCGACAGUGUCGGCCUGACCCCCCCUCCGCUCCCCGGCAGCUCGCUCUCUCCCCUCAGCUUAACGAUGAAGAGGAGAACUGACCCAGAAUGCACUGCCCCCAUCAAGAAACAGAAAAAAAGAGUUGCAGAGCUUGCCCUGAGCCUCAGCUCCACGUCCGAUGAUGAACCUCCCUCCUCUGUCAGUCAUGGAGCAAAAGCAUCUACUACAAGCCUUAGUGGGUCUGAUAGUGAGACUGAGGGGAAACAACACAGCUCUGACUCUUUUGACGAUGCAUUCAAAGCAGACUCUCUUGUGGAAGGAACUUCUUCUCGCUAUUCCAUGUAUAAUAGCGUCUCCCAGAAGCUUAUGGCCAAGAUGGGCUUCAGGGAAGGUGAAGGAUUGGGUAAAUACAGCCAGGGUCGGAAGGACAUCGUUGAGGCUUCCAGUCAGAAAGGUCGAAGAGGCUUGGGUCUGACACUCCGGGGCUUUGACCAGGAGCUGAACGUGGACUGGCGAGAUGAGCCAGAGCCCAGUGCUUGUGAGCAGGUGUCAUGGUUUCCAGAAUGUACCACUGAAAUUCCUGACACUCAGGAAAUGAGCGAUUGGAUGGUGGUGGGAAAGAGAAAGAUGAUUAUUGAAGAUGAAACAGAGUUUUGUGGGGAAGAGCUGCUUCACAGUGUGUUGCAGUGUAAGAGCGUGUUUGAUGUCUUGGAUGGGGAAGAGAUGCGGCGAGCUCGGACUCGGGCCAAUCCCUAUGAGAUGAUCCGAGGAGUCUUCUUUCUAAACAGGGCAGCAAUGAAGAUGGCUAACAUGGAUUUUGUAUUUGAUCGCAUGUUCACAAAUCCGCGGGACUCUUAUGGGAAGCCACUGGUGAAGGACCGGGAAGCUGAGCUUCUGUACUUUGCUGAUGUCUGCGCAGGCCCAGGUGGCUUCUCAGAGUAUGUGCUGUGGAGGAAGAAGUGGCAUGCAAAGGGCUUUGGAAUGACUUUGAAGGGCCCUAAUGACUUCAAGCUGGAGGACUUCUACUCUGCUUCCAGUGAACUCUUCGAACCCUACUAUGGUGAGGGUGGGAUUGAUGGAGAUGGAGAUAUCACCCGCCCAGAGAACAUCUCUGCUUUUCGGAAUUUUGUCCUGGAUAACACAGAUCGCAAGGGUGUCCAUUUUCUGAUGGCUGAUGGGGGUUUCUCGGUGGAGGGGCAGGAGAACCUGCAGGAGAUCCUCAGCAAGCAGCUGCUUCUGUGUCAGUUCCUCAUGGCGCUGUCCAUUGUCCGGACAGGAGGCCACUUCAUCUGUAAAACCUUUGACCUGUUCACACCGUUUAGUGUGGGGCUUGUCUACCUGCUGUACUGCUGCUUUGAACGAGUUUGUCUCUUCAAGCCUAUUACCAGCCGUCCUGCCAACUCAGAGAGGUAUGUGGUGUGCAAGGGCCUGAAGGUGGGCAUAGAUGAUGUUCGGGAUUACCUCUUCGCAGUGAAUAUUAAACUCAAUCAGCUGCGGAACACGGAUUCCGACGUCAACUUGGUGGUCCCCCUGGAGGUGAUCAAGGGAGACCAUGAAUUUACUGACUACAUGAUACGGUCCAAUGAGAGCCACUGUAGUCUGCAGAUCAAAGCUCUGGCGAAAAUCCAUGCCUUUGUUCAAGACACGACACUGAGUGAGCCUCGACAGGCAGAGAUACGGAAGGAGUGCCUCCGACUCUGGGGGAUCCCAGACCAGGCUCGUGUGGCUCCUUCUUCCUCCGACCCUAAAUCGAAGUUCUUUGAGCUAAUCCAGGGCACUGAGAUUGACAUCUUCAGCUACAAGCCCACACUGCUCACCUCUAAAACCCUGGAGAAGAUCCGCCCUGUGUUUGACUACCGCUGCAUGGUAUCUGGCAGUGAGCAGAAGUUCCUCAUCGGCCUGGGGAAAUCCCAGAUCUACACGUGGGAUGGCCGCCAGUCAGACCGCUGGAUCAAGCUAGACCUGAAGACAGAGCUGCCCCGGGACACUCUGCUAUCUGUGGAAAUUGUGCAUGAGCUGAAAGGGGAGGGGAAGGCCCAGAGGAAGAUCAGUGCCAUCCACAUCCUCGAUGUCCUUGUGCUGAAUGGCACCGACGUUCGGGAGCAGCACUUUAACCAGCGGUCUGACCUGGGCCCCAGGGUAGGGAGGGUGGGGGUAGGCCAGGGCAGCUUGGGAGGACAGCGGCCUCCCGAGGUGUGGCCCCUCAUCUAGGCCUUCUCUGCUUGUUGACAUCCUGAGAGUUUCCCCCUCCCACCCACUGACUGGUCCCAAAGUCAGGGUGAGAAUUGGAGUUGCCACUUCAGAGUUUGCUAGGGCUUGGGCCCUGGUUAUCAGAGAUACUAGCACACUCCAUUUUGCCACAGCUGCUCAGGUUGAGGUAUUUAUGUUAAGGUUGAGCAAGAGGGUGACCUUGCGGGUAGAGGGGGUACUCCUUGGAAGAAAUAUCCUGUGCUUGAGUGGUCCCAUUUAAGUUGCUCAUCUGAGUGGGUGCACUGUAGUGUCCAUGCUUUGGGGUGACAGGGCAGACACAUACAAUAAAGAUGAUACUUGAAGUUCUAGUGGAAGUGACUGAGCACAGCUGAAGGCACACUUCAGGAAAACCAACCAACAUAGUGAAAUUAGAGAAUUCAGCUUGCCGAGAAAUUUGUGAAAGCUGUUUCCAAGCCCAGUCGGCCCGACAUGAAUCCCAUCAGGGUGAAGGAGGUGUACAGACUGGAAGAGAUGGAGAAGAUUUUUGUCAGGUUGGAGAUGAAGAUCAUCAAGGGCUCCAGUGGCACCCCAAAGCUCAGCUACACAGGGCGUGAUGACCGGCACUUUGUACCCAUGGGCCUCUACAUCGUCAGGACAGUGAAUGAGCCCUGGACUAUGGGAUUCAGCAAAAGCUUCAAGAAGAAGUUCUUCUACAACAAGAAAACCAAGGACUCUACUUUUGACCUCCCUGCAGACUCCAUUGCCCCAUUUCACAUUUGCUACUAUGGCCGGCUCUUCUGGGAGUGGGGGGAUGGCAUUCGUGUGCAUGACUCCCAGAAGCCCCAGGACCAGGACAAGCUGUCCAAGGAGGACGUCCUCUCCUUCAUCCAGAUGCACAGGGCCUAAGAGCCUCAGAGUGUGCCACCCCUGCAGAAUGCCCUGUCAUUCCUGAGAUGGGGCCACCUGGGGCCCACAGCGCUGGCUUCUUCCCCCUCUUGAAAAGGGACUGGGGAGCAUUGCACCUGGCAUGAGGAGUGGGUGGCCUCCUCUCCAUCCCCUGAAGAGCUCAGGCAGGGCCCUGCAGAGAACACUCAUGUUCCUUCUGGGACACCUGCCUGGGAACUUUCCCCUGCCAGGACUCAGCCUGAAGGAAGCUGCUCCUGAGGCAGGUAUGAGGUCAGUGCCUAGGGCACGUGGGACUGAUGGAGGACAUAUCAGAGUGGCAGAGCUGUGGGCUCUGCUGUUCUCUCCUGCAUCCUGUAGACUCACUUUUCUGAGUUCCAUGCACUGCCCUGAGGGUAGCCAUGCCCUUGCUUUGCCCAACUUUUUAUUGGGCCAUCCCUGAGUGGGUGGAGACCUGCUGUCAUGAGCUGGCCAGGAGAACCUGCUAUAAAAAAAUCAAGGUUUUGUUUCUUUGAACUUACUCUGUUUUGAUGCCAAGUUGGAGACCAUUUUCUUGUCUCCUUCCCCCACUCAUCCUGGCCUUCCCUGGAGUUCUUCCUAGCUCAGAGCUCUGACAGUCCAGCAGGGUGGGAAGGAGGGAGUGUGGGCCUCUCAUCCCUGAUACCACAUUGAGAUCCUGGGAGCCCUCUUUUCGUACUGAGUAUGGAGUUGUAGAGCCAUCCUAGGUGCCAUCCCCUUUUGGUCCAAACAUUGGGCAGCGCUAGAUGGCAGGAAGCAGCCUUGAAGACCCGUCUUUCCCCCACAGCAGCAGGGGCCCCAGCAGUAACAAAGGGUACCUCCAGGGGUUUGGGUAGCGCUGCCCUCUGGCAGUCAUGCAUCACUGUCUGCCAUAGCCGCUCUAGGGUCUUGGCAGAAUUCUGAGCUGGAAGUGCAGCUCCCUAACUACCCUUUCCCUUCCUUUUUCUUCCCUAAUAGGAGGUACAAUCUGCUUUUGUUUGUCGUUACGUGGUCACUCCCAUUUCCUUUAUCUUGGCCGAGAACACAGAGAGGAGGGGGAGCUGGGCAGUAGCUUGGGGUGGGGGUGGGCACCUGUGGUUGUUUUUAAUGGGAAAUACCUCUCAGAGAUGUUCAUGCAGGCUCCCUACGGCCCCAUCCCAGUGCCAGGCUGGUUUCCAUGGAGAUAGGGCACUGAGGCUCCCGUGAGGUUGGAAUCGACUUCACCAUGGGGGUCCUUCAGCCAGCAUCCAGCUCCCCACCCCCAGGCUGGCAGCAGCACUGCUGAGAUGCUGUAUUUCCACCCAAUUCUGGGUAUAUCAGUGUGUCUUGCAGAAUCUUGGAUCAUUAAAGAUAAACAUAUUUUUAA